rnacentral:rRNA from 2 species
ACUCAGGUGUUGUUGGGUAGGGGAGCGUUCUGUAAGCCUGCGAAGGUGGCCUGUGAGGGUUGCUGGAGGUAUCAGAAGUGCGAAUGCUGACAUAAGUAACGAUAAAGCGGGUGAAAAGCCCGCUCGCCGGAAGACCAAGGGUUCCUGUCCAACGUUAAUCGGGGCAGGGUGAGUCGACCCCUAAGGCGAGGCCGAAAGGCGUAGUCGAUGGGAAACGGGUUAAUAUUCCCGUACUUGGUGUUACUGCGAAGGGGGGACGGAGAAGGCUAUGUUGGCCGGGCGACGGUU